rnacentral:lncRNA from 1 species
GAGUUCCUUGAAACAGGUGUGUUGGACUUGUAUCUGCCUGCUUGGUAUGAGAGGGUGAACUUGUUGAUGUGGACUCACUGUCUUUAUUCAUUAACAUAAUUCUAAUAGGCUGCUCUUGAUGACUGAUAUUUGAUUACUUGUAGUCUUGUUUUUAUAUGGUGGGAGGAUUUCUCAUCCUUCUCUUGUACUUCCUUUUUAUCAAUAUAUUCCUUUGUCAUUUCCUAUAAAAAUAAAAUAAAAAAAUGACUGAUAUUUUACUUUGAUAUCUGCAUGAUUGUCAAUCUUGUACAUAGAAAUAGAAGUUGCUCAUUUGUUUAAUCUAAUGAAGGGAAACUUCAGUUGGAUUUUGUUUUUCCUACAAGAGUUGUUUAGUGGGGAGAUUUUCUGAUAGAUUGCUGACUUAUUUAAUUUAAUGAAAUUUACUGUCUAAAGGGGCAGUUUUUGUCCCUAAGAAGCAAACAUCUGUUGGAUUUUUAUGUUCCUGGAAGGGUUGUCUAGUGGGGUAAAUUUUCUGAUAGGUAUGAUCUAUUUGUAUCCUGUCUGAGACGUCUUUUAUUAUCUGACCUAAUUGUUUUAUCAAUUCAAUUGUUGAAGGUGGAUGUUGUUUAAUACAUGUGUUGUGUACCUCUUGAGGAAUUGAUUGAUGAUUUAGUUUAUAAAUUGUCAUUGUGUGUGCAAUUUUCUUGGCAUUCUAUGUGCCUCUUGAUUUUCCCUUUCUUAGGUUCUUCCUGUCUUCUUGGUGAUCACCUAUUAAGCUGAAGCCCUAGGAAAUGCCAUGGGGAAUUUGAGUUUCUGCUUUGUUAGGGAGCUGUGGAAGGAAAGGGGCAUUAAGUUCUUGGAUUGGCAACUUUUGUAGCUGGUAUUCAGUUGGGUUUCUUCUUCUCUCUUGUUCAGCAGAGUUUGAAAGGUUGUUUGUACAAUAGGUUUGAUUUAAAGUUGUCUAUUUAUAAAUACGGUGAUACAAAUCUGAGCUGUCUGCUGCCUAACAGUCAAUUUUAAAGUUUGAGGAGGUGUCUUGCUUCCCUUGUAGAUGAAAAAAAUUUUAUCAGAAAAAAAGGGGAAAAAAAUCAGAGAUAAACCUGUUUUACUUUCCUCCUCCAGGCUUGUCAUGAGGAAAAUCAAUAUUUAAGCUGCAUCUCAUACCACUCUUUAGUAUGAGGAACGCAUAGGUGUAUUAAUUUAAAGCCCUUCACCUGCCAGCAUAGAUUCCCACACGUUCAUGGGAUCUUCUUAACAUUGUUGAUUGUUAUGAAAGGACCUGACUUAUCAGAUGGUUCCUGUCAUCUUAUAUAAGCUGAUUUUAUGUAGAAUUCAGUGGCAGUCCUUUCAAAUAAUGGGUUUACUCUUCAAUGUUUUGUGCAUUUUCUUGAAUGGAUUCCAUUUUAAACUUUCAGAGUGAGUCAUGCUUGCGGUUGUAAGAUGUUUGUGGAGGUUUCUCUAGAAUUAUUUGCUUUGGCACAAAAUUCUCGGUGCUUGGAUUGUUUUAUUGUAAAUAUCUGCCAUAAUGUGAGUUGAAUUUCUUGUUUCAAUUUUUUUUUUCUCCAUAUAAGAGCCCAUGUUGUGGAGUGGCAUCAAAAAGUAUUUUUUUAGUUUGUUUGGUCUCAUUGGUUGAAUGAACUUUUGAAUUUGCUCUUCUCAAAUGUUGUAUUCAGAGUUUUAGAUGGAACUUAAAUCUUUGCCACCAUCUUUACUUGCUGCCUAAUGUAACGGUCUAGUCUUUUUGAAUCCUCAGGUUUGUUUUCACUCAAUUUUUUCUUUGGAGCCCUCUUUGUACUUACACUUUUAACUUCUUUCAUUCCAGCCAAUUUCAUUUGGAAAUCUAAAACCUUGUGGUCGAGAAGGUUGAUGCUAAUGACAUGCCCGUAUUUGGGGAGGUCUUAUAAACCCAGCCUGAAUUGCUGUAUUUUGUGCAUGGUGAACAGUUGAUCAUCUAUUUCUUCAUCUCAUGUUACCAAUGAGACCCAACAUAAGUUGUUUAGACUUUUUAGUGUUGCAAAGUUCCCCAAAAGUGUUGUGUAUAUGAUGAUCAUCUUUUAGGGAUUUGGAGAACAUUGUAAAAGUGCAAGAUUUAUGAUGUAUGACUACUACCUUCAUUUGGAUCAUUUGAUGGGAAAUUAAUGCUAGUUCCGAGGGUUGACUGAUGAUAGUGGAGCCAACUUGGGGUUUGGUUCUUCCUUGUCCUCUUUUUUAUCUUUUUCUGCUAACACCUUUGCAGGCG